UCCGCGCUACGCGCGGAUAGUAUUUUGUUUUUUUUUUCAUAUUUUUGUACUAUUAUGUCAAUUGUUUAGUUUUAUAAAAUGUUAUGUUUUUAUUGUAAAUUUGGAAUUAAAAAUCUAGUUUUUCCUUACUGUAAAGUAAGUUAAUUUUUUUGAAUCUUACCACAACACAUUAUACAUAAAGAGAAUAUAGUUGGUCUUUAUAUUCUUAUUUGGUGUAAUAUUGAAAAUUUUGAUGGUUUUUUU
rnacentral:lncRNA from 1 species